GUGAGGAAUAUUGGUCAAUGGGCGGGAGCCUGAACCAGCCAAGUCGCGUGAAGGAAGAAGGAUCUAUGGUUCGUAAACUUCUUUUGCAGGGGAAUAAAGUGCAGGACGUGUCCUGUUUUGUAUGUACCCUGAGAAUAAGGAUCGGCUAACUCCGUGCCAGCAGCCGCGGUAAUACGGAGGAUCCGAGCGUUAUCCGGAUUUAUUGGGUUUAAAGGGUGCGUAGGUGGUUUGAUAAGUCAGCGGUGAAAGUUUGCAGCUUAACUGUAAAAAUGCCGUUGAAACUGUCGGACUUGAGUGUAAAUGAGGUAGGCGGAAUGCGUGGUGUAGCGGUGAAAUGCAUAGAUAUCACGCAGAACUCCGAUUGCGAAGGCAGCUUACUAAGCUACAACUGACACUGAAGCACGAAAUCGUGGGGAUCAAACAGGAUUAGAUACCCUAGUAGUCC
rnacentral:rRNA from 1 species